rnacentral:rRNA from 1 species
GAUGAACGCUAGCUGCAGGCUUAACACAUGCAAGUCGCGGGGCAGCAUGGGGGUUGCUUGCAAUCCCCGAUGGCGACCGGCGCACGGGUGAGUAACGCGUAACCAACCUGCCCUUCACCACGGGAUAACCCGGCGAAAGUCGGACUAAGACCGUAUGUUGUCCAUUGACGGCACACGAGUUAGACGCAGGGUUGGGCGGAGUAGGAGGGGGAUGCGUCCGAUUGGCUGGAGGGCGGGGGGACGGCGCACCGUGGCGACGAGCGGUAGGGGUUCCGAGAGGAAGGUCCCCCACACUGGAACUGAGACCCGGUCCAGACUCCUACGGGACGCAGCAGUGAGGAAUAUUGGUCAAGGGGCGUUAGCCUGAACCAGCCAAGUAGCGUGCAGGAUGACGGCCCUAUGGGUUGUAAACUGCUUUUAUGCGGGGAUAAAGUGGCCCACGUGUGGGUUUUUGCAGGUACCGCAUGAAUAAGGACCGGCUAAUUCCGUG